rnacentral:rRNA from 1 species
UACGGGGGGGGCAAGCGUUGUUCGGAAUUAUUGGGCGUAAAGGGCGCGUAGGCGGCUAGAUGUGUCAAAGGUGAAAUCCCUCGGCUCAACUGAGGAACUGCCUUUGAAACUGUCUGGCUUGAGGCCGGGAGAGGGUAGCGGAAUUCCCAGUGUAGCGGUGAAAUGCGUAGAUAUUGGGAGGAACACCAGUGGCGAAGGCGGCUACCUGGACCGGUUCUGACGCUGAGGCGCGAAAGCGUGGGUAGCAAACAGG